rnacentral:rRNA from 1 species
UACAGAGGUCCCAAGCGUUGUUCGGAUUCACUGGGCGUAAAGGGUGCGUAGGUGGUUAGGUAAGUCCGAUGUGAAAUCUCCAGGCUCAACCUGGAAAUGGCAUUGGAUACUAUCUAGCUUGAGGAGUGGAGGGGGGACUGGAAUUCUCGGUGUAGCAGUGAAAUGCGUAGAUAUCGAGAGGAACACCAGUGGCGAAGGUGAGUCCCUGGACACUUCCUGACACUGAGGCACGAAAGCUAGGGGAGCAAACAGG